rnacentral:rRNA from 1 species
UCGAGUGGCGANCGGGUGAGUAANGCGUGGGUGAUCUGCCCUGCACUUCGGGAUAAGCCUGGGAAACUGGGUCUAAUACCGGAUAGGACGAUGGUUUGGAUGCCAUUGUGGAAAGUUUUUUCGGUGUGGGAUGAGCUCGCGGCCUAUCAGCUUGUUGGUGGGGUAAUGGCCUACCAAGGCGUCGACGGGUAGCCGGCCUGAGAGGGUGUACGGCCACAUUGGGACUGAGAUACGGCCCAGACUCCUACGGGAGGCAGCAGUGGGGAAUAUUGCACAAUGGGCGCAAGCCUGAUGCAGCGACGCCGCGUGGGGGAUGACGGCCUUCGGGUUGUAAACUCCUUUCGCUAGGGACGAAGCGUUUUUGUGACGGUACCUGGAGAAGAAGCACCGGCUAACUACGUGCCAGCAGCCGCGGUAAUACGUAGGGUGCGAGCGUUGUCCGGAAUUACUGGGCGUAAAGAGCUCGUAGGUGGUUUGUCGCGUCGUUUGUGUAAGCCCGCAGCUUAACUGCGGGACUGCAGGCGAUACGGGCAUAACUUGAGUGCUGUAGGGGAGACUGGAAUUCCUGGUGUAGCGGUGGAAUGCGCAAAUAUCAGGAGGAACACCGAUGGCGAAGGCAGGUCUCUGGGCAGUAACUGACGCUAAGGAGCGAAAGCAUGGGUAGCGAACAGGAUUAGAUACCCUGGUAGUCCAUGCCGUAAACGGUGGGCGCUAGGUGUGAGUCCCUUCCACGGGGUUCGUGCCGUAGCUAACGCAUUAAGCGCCCCGCCUGGGGAGUACGGCCGCAAGGCUAAAACUCAAAGGAAUUGACGGGGGCCCGCACAAGCGGCGGAGCAUGUGGAUUAAUUCGAUGCAACGCGAAGAACCUUACCUGGGCUUGACAUACACCAAAUCGCCGUAAAGAUACGGUUUCCCUUUGUGGUUGGUGUACAGGUGGUGCAUGGUUGUCGUCAGCUCGUGUCGUGAGAUGUUGGGUUAAGUCCCGCAACGAGCGCAACCCUUGUCUUAUGUUGCCAGCACGUUAUGGUGGGGGACUCGUGAAAAACUGCCGGGGUUAACUCGGAAGAAGGGGGGGAUGACGUCAAAUCAUCAUGCCCCUUAUGUCCAGGGCUUCCACCAUGCUACAAUGGUUCGGUACAACCCCCAUGCCAACCCUUUAAAGGGUGAGCGAAUCCCUUUUAAAACCCGGUC